CACAGUGACAUACAGACACACAUACACAAUGAUAGGGAAGAAGACACACAAAGACACACUAACAGACAGACACACACACUAACAGACAUUUAGAUACACACAGACACACGGACAGAGACAUAUACAUACACACACACACUGACAGACAUGGAUACACACACACACACUGACAGACAUACACACACACACUGACAGACAUAGAUACACACACACACACUGACAGACAUAGAUACACACACACACACACUGACAGACAUAUACACACACACUGACAGACAUAGAUACACACAGACAGACAUAGAUACACACAGACACACUGACCAACAGGUUCAGAAGGGGGGCUUACCUGGGAUCCAAAGUGCUGCCUGAGGUAGUUGGGAGUUGGAGGAGCUGGUCCUGCCCAGCCCCCUCCUCUCUGCCUUCUGCUGCUCUUGUCUUCUUGGGAGGACUUCCUCCCAUGCUGACAAAAAGGGGACCGGUGGUAGCUCCGCCCCUGCUGUUCACCAG